rnacentral:miRNA from 2 species
UUCCGAUUGUUCUAAGUCCGGCU